AGAGCGAACGCUGGCGGCAGGCCUAAUACAUGCAAGUCGAACGGACCCUUCGGGGUUAGUGGCGGACGGGUGAGUAACACGUGGGAACGUGCCCUUUGGUUCGGAACAACUCAGGGAAACUUGAGCUAAUACCGCAUGAUAUUCCGGGAACCUCGGUUUCUGGAUUCAAAGGCCGAAAGGCCGUUGGGGGAGGGGCUCGCGCCCGAUUAGCUUGUUGGCGAGGUAAUGGCUCACCAAGGCUUUGAUCGGUAGCC
rnacentral:rRNA from 1 species